rnacentral:rRNA from 1 species
UAUAUUAAAGUUGUUGCGGUUAAAAAGCUCGUAGUUGGAUUUCUGCCGAGGACGACCGGUCCGCCCUCUGGGUGAGUAUCUGGCUUGGCCUGGGCAUCUUCUUGGAGAACGUAGCUGCACUUGACUGUGUGGUGCGGUAUCCAGGACUUUUACUUUGAGGAAAUUUGAGUGUUUCAAGCAGGCACACGCCUUGAAUACAUUAGCAUGGAAUAAUAAGAUAGGACCUCGGUUCUAUUUUGUUGGUUUCUAGAGCUGAGGUAAUGAUUAAUAGGGAUAGUUGGGGGCAUUCGUAUUUAACCGUCAGAGGUGAAAUUCUUGGAUUUGUUAAAGACGGACUACUGCGAAAGCAUUUGCCAAGGAUGUUUUCAUUGAUCAAGAACGAAAGUUAGGGGAUCGAAGACGAUUAGAUACCGUCCUAGUCUUAACCAUAAACCAUGCCGACUAGAGAUUGGAGGUCGUUAUCUAUACGACUCCUUCAGCACCUUAUGAGAAAUCAAAGUUUUUGGGGUCCGGGGGGAGUAUGGUCGCAAGGCUGAAACUUAAAG